rfam:Astyanax mexicanus chromosome 17, whole genome shotgun sequence.
UUGAAGCACUGUUGUAAGUCGCUCUGGAUAAGGGCGUCUGCUAAAUACCAUAAA